GCGCCCAUAGCUCAGAAGGAUAGAGCGAACGGCUUCGAACCGUUAGGUCGCAGGUUCAAUUCCUGCUGGGCGCG
rnacentral:tRNA from 1 species